GUUUUAGGGCUACUCACUGAACACCUUCCAACUUCUAUGGCUGCUUGAAUACAAAUCUCUUCUCUGAGAAGACUCUGGAUAAACAUAUUCGACGACAGACCUUGGCAAGAACUGCAAAGAUGCUCUUGACAAUGGCAUGAAUAAAUAUUAGGUGUUAUCUAGAAUUCACCACAUUUGAGGUCGUGCGCAAAGCCAGAUCAAAGAGAAUGCAGAACAAUAGAAGCAAGAAGGAUCCCAAAUAUAGUGUUGCAACUCUCCUCACCUGCAGGAAGGGGUUGCCCAAGAAGCAUGACACCAGCAUCUGCUUCUGGUGAGAGCUUCAAGCUGUUCCCACUCAUGGUGGAAGAGGAAGAGGAACCAGUUGUGCAGAAAUAACAGCUAUACAUUUCCGAAGACAGAGAAGAGGAAAAAGGAGGUAGAGUCUGGUAUGAGGGCACCAGGGAACAUUUCCUUACUUCACAAUUUGGUGAACUGAGUAGAACUGCCUGACAUCACACAGAGGGUAAACUUCUGCCUAGGGCCAUGGAAAAAGGCAAGAAGGUCCCGUGACCAAGAAAUGACCAGCUCCACAGAGGAAAUGCAGGGCCACUCUCCGACUGGACCCCACUGUGCACAAGGUGAGAAUUCAGCCUGUUUAUCAGGGUUUCCCUUAUUAAAGUAUAUGUCAAAAAGGCCUGGUAGAAAUGUAACUCUGUGAUGUUAAUUUUGGAAAGUCUCAUCUAGAACUUUCUGGGAAGUAUUUGAAAGCACAGUUGUGGAAUCAUUUGAAGACUCAAACAUAUAAAUUAAACACUCUUCUUGGAUACAGCAGUUAGAAUAUGGAACAGAUAGGGUCUACAUUGGAGAAAUGAGAGAUGUGGCAAGUGCUUAGCCUCUCUGAGACUCAGUCUCAAUGUCUCCAUCAGGGACAGCUAGCUAGCUCACGGAAUUAUUGUGAGGGUUCACUGUUAUAAUUUAUUCCAAGGUCCACUGCAGCACCGAGGACAUAGGUGGCACUCAAGAAGCAGUGGCCAGUAGUAUUCUCUGCUAAAAUAUUUGCCACCUCAGCCACUUUGAUUCUGCUCCAGAGGGCUUUUUCGCUCAUCCCAUUGGCGACACAAGGCAGGUUAACUAAAGAUACUCUCACCUAAUCUAAAAAUUCAAGACAUCAGUCCACAAAAUACCAGAAUCACCAUGGAGGCAGCUGUUUAGCACUUUGGAUAGUCUAUUUCUCCCCCUAAAAACAGCCUACUUAAAACAGGGGAGAGUUAAGGUUCCAGGAUCUUACUCCUGAGAUUUUUUAUUUAAAGAACACCCCAUCUUUACUCGCAGCUGAGAGGCUAAGAUUAAAAAUUAGCCACUGUAUAGUAGCUGAGCAGUGACAAUUUUUCAUAAAGGUUUUUAGUACACAUUUGGGAUUAUAAUUUCAAUAUUAUGCAAAUGCAUUUUAUGGAUCUAUAAUACAGAAUGUGUACUGGCGUUAAUGUGCAUUAGCAGGCGAGAAGAAAAGGCUCCAAAUGAGCCAUUUUGGUGUCUGCUUUCAACAUGUAUUAUGAAUAAUAAGUAAAAUGUUCUGGUUUAGAACAAAUAAUAUAAAAUCUGAAUUCUUCUUGAUGUACAUCAGUGACAAAGCCCUACGCAACUCCCAUGGAAUUAUUCCAUUGGACACAAUUUAAAACUGGCUCUUAAACAAUAUAUUCCUGUUUCUGGCUUCUCUUCUUGAAUGAGAUGUGAAAGUAAAAUAAAUAUAUUUAAUAUGAAUACGGGAUAGUUCCCCCCAUUGCUCAAAAUCAGGCAUGAACUAGAUGAAGGCAUUGGGAAGGCUGAAACACCAUAGUGGUCAAGAGAGUGGCCCAGGAUACUUGUAAUUUGAGAGGCUCUGAGUAUUGAAAAGUGAAGAAGCAUCUAAAUAGGGUUAUAUAACUUGCAUAUUUUCAAUGAAUAAAAUUAACAAAUAUAAUGCCUUUAACACAAAAUAUUUAAUACAAGAUGACUGUAUUAUUCUGAAGAUAUUUAAAUGAUGUGUAAGUAAUAUUUCUUAAUGUAAUGUGCUGCAAGCUUUGUUCCAAAAUGGGAACUUGAGUUGAAAUUUGUCUGAUGUCUAUUUUCUUUCAGCCUUGUCAGAGUGUUUCUGUGACUGCAGAUUAGAAUAAAAUUCUCACAAACUAAUUUGAGGCUUUUCGUAAAGGCAGAGGACUGAGCCAAACAACUAGCUUCUCAUGAUAGAGCCCCAAAAUGUUUCCUUUUUAAUUAAUAUUUCCAUGUUGCAAUUUUGCAUGUACAGAAGGUGGUAGCUGGUUAUUUUAGUAGUAAUUCAAACUUUCUAUUUGCAUUGAUUUAGUUAAGACUUUCAGAUCUAUUGACCCUGUUUCUUGAAUGCAUGUUUCACACCUGCCCCAUUCUUGGGCAGCCUGCAGGAAUACAAGAUCACACUGUCCAAUGAGUAUGGACUAAGCAUUCAGCUGAGUAACAAUAAUACAAUCAUCUUGUCUCUCAAACAGGUGCCCUUAACUUAAUGUUUUUUAAAAUGCCACCACGUCCAUGACAUCUUCAAAAUGAUACUAAAAAUAUCCAUGCGAUGAGUUCUGUGUGUGUUAAGUGUUUUAUAUGCAUUAUCUCAAUUGACUUCCAAAGCAACCUCACAAGGUCAGUUUUACAAUCCCCAUGAAAUGGUUGAAGAAUUUGGAGUCUAAAAAGACUAAGUAAUUUGUACAAAAUCACAAUUAUACAGGUCUAAUUUUGCAACCCAAACUCUUGACCAGUAUAUAACCCUGAAUCCAGUAUUAAUGUAGUAGAUAAUUGUCUUGGCUUAAUUUAUCAUAUAAGUUAUAGAAAUGGUGUUUUGUCCUUACUCUGACAUGGGGACUAUAAUUGACACUAAAAUCUGAAUCAAUUUCAACCAGUCAUUGCUUCACUUCACUACUUGUCUACAUUGCUGCAGUUGGUUGCUGCUUUCCAUUUCCCCCGAUGCUUUUCCAUUCGAGAUGGAGGUCUGUGGAAGGAAAGAUGGAUACAGCAAGAGGGUCUAUCCAAGAACCCAAUAAAUAUGUACUGCAUAAAUAAAUCAGAUGUUUUAAAUUUGGCAAUUUAAAUUCAGCAAAAAGUCUUUGACAACCUGUGGAGUGUAAGCUAUGGUUUCUAUCCUUGCAACCUUAAAAUUUCAAAAAGCCCCAAAUUCAAGCUUAUCAGUAGCAAGGAAGCCCUUCCAAAUAUUAACUUACAAUCAAUAUUGGAAAAAACUGAGUAGUAUAUUGUGUCCUAUUUUGAAAACAAGCUAUUUGCCAUGUGUAGAUAAGAUUCCUACACUAAAGAUAUCUUUUUAAUAGUUGAAAUAUGAGAUGCCGAGUAAUAAAACUUGAAGUACAGUGGAGCAGCUCUGAGAGAACAAGUGGCACAUUGCCUUGAAAUAAUACUCUCAACGCCAUUUGCUGAGUCUUCUAUGCUCUUGGCCCUUUGCACAAUCUCACUUAAUCUUCACUGCACCCUGUAAGGUAAAUAUUAUUAUCUUCAUUUUACAGAUGAGGAAAUUGAAGCUUACAUAAAUUGUCUGAGGUCACACAGUUAAUAAGUGGUUGAAUGUGGAUUUAAUUCGAGGUCUGCUUUAUUUCAAAGUGAUUCAGUGAGUGAGACAGAGAGAAACAAAGAGAAGACAGUGGUUUUUAAAGAAAGAAUGAAUCUCAAUUUUCUGAAACCCUAUAGCAAUUCCUGCCUUUCUUGUGGCUCUUACCAUAUUCUGCUGUUAUUUCUGGAUUUCUUAUAUAACCUUUACUGAAUUAUAAGCUAUUCUAUUUGAGAGAAGAGACCACACACAAACCAUUUCUGUAUUCCCCCAGGACCUUGUUCAGUGCCUGGAACAAAGUAGGUAUUCAAGAUACCUUUCACUUAUUCCUCAUAUAUUUGCUGGGUGUGGUUAAGCCCAGUAAAGAAGACAAGUCAUGCCUUCCAGGAGCUUCUAGCUCAGGGGAGAAAGUGAUUGAAGACCCAGUGUUCUAAACUGGGUGUGGCACCACAGUGAUGGGAAGUAGGGGAAGCCAAGGGGAAGCUGACUGACUGGUGGGCUCAACCAAGGUUUCCCGAGGAAGAGGUCAUCCAAAACCAUUCUUGAAGCUUCAGUAAGAGCCAAGCAAAGAGGGUGGGGAAAGCCUCACAAAGCGAGAAGGAUCAGGAAUGCACAAAGGCCCUGAAAUUAGAGAUAAGCACAAAGCCUGUUUCCAAGGAUUACAAAUCACCUGGAGAUUACUGGAGGACAAGAGAAAGGGGAGAAACAGCAAGACAGAAGGUGGCAAGGUAUCCGCUGUGAAGUCUAGAAGGACUGUGUACACCAUGGUAAAGUAUUUCUCUAUCCUGAUCUUUCUGGGGAGGGUUUAUGCAGAGGAGAGGCAAGACAAGGCAUAUAUUUGAGAAAGAGGAUCAUUAGCUGAAUUGUGGAGAACAGACUCGAAGAGGAUGCUACUGGUUGCAGGGAACAGGAAAGAAAACCAAGGAAGCAAUCACUAAAGCCAGUGGGAGGGAGGGUCUUGCCAUUAGAGAAGAGAAGGCCAUUUUGUAUACACAGCUGACGCUUGAACAACACAGGUUUGAACUGUGAGAGUCCACUUAUAUUUGGAAUUUUUUCAAUAAAAGUUACAUGGAGUGUGCCUGCCUCUCCUGCCUCCUCUUCCACCCCCGCCACCCUUGAGACAGCAAAACCAACCAUUCCUCUUCCUCCUCUUCCUCAGCCUGCUCAAUGUGAAGAUGACGAGGAUGAAAACCUUUAUGAUGAUCUACUCCUAUUUAUGGAGGAAGACCCAGUGGGCUUUUACUGUAGCUGGAACAUUAGACACCAAAACGCAGCCCUUUGCUAGAAGAUGCGUCUUUGUGUUUGCUGAAUGUGAGAGGGAUGGUGGCACAUUCUAUAUUAACCAGAAAAAUGUUCCUGAUGAUAGGACCAACUUUGAUGUCCCUCGGAUCUAGGAGCCAGGCUUAUGGCUGGAGCAGCAACAAUAUUAGGUGUUGAUUAUGGAGUCACUCAGGGACCACCAGAAGCUCAGACUCUCCCCAGAGGCUACCUUAUGUGUGGGGGCAAUUUAGGCCCUUCUUCCCUCUCUCCCUGUCAUGAUCUUCUUCACUAACCAAUUGAGGAACCUAUAAUUAAUAUCAUUUUUCACUGUUUGGCUUAAUGCUUUUAAGCCCUGUUAAAAUGCAAACAAGAUAUCUGGAAAAGUUGAUAAGGAGAUAUGUGAACAUUCAUUGACAUCUCGGCAUGCAGCAGGUUCUCAACUUAGUCAAAAUUACGGCACUGAGUAGGAUGAACUGGAACAUCAGGGCAGGCAGCACAAAUGAUGGGAAAAUGAAGUGUUGCUGAGAGAACAUCCUGAUGGCCAGGAUCACUAUGUACGAAAUGCAGGGGUAUACAGAGAGGAUUGGGAAUGAUUCUCAAUGGUGACUAACAUUUGUAGAAUUCACCUGUGAGGGCAGGCAGUACUAUCAUUAUCCCCACUUCCCAGAUGAGAAAACUGAGGCCCAGAGAUGUUAAGUAAAGUAACUUGCUCAUCAAGUUUACCCAGCCAGUGUGACAAUUUAUACUACGGAAUUGGGUGGGUCUAAAAGCUAAUUUACCUUAGUUCAGAAUUUAGCCUGAGGCUGUCUAGGAAUAACAGAUCUUGCUUUGCUUAAAGCCAUGAUGUUAGAUUAAUUGAUAUUGUGACCCUUGGCAAAUAUCAAAGUUUCGUGGAAUUCUCUAUAAUAAAGACUCUAGACUUUAGAAAAGUCAAUUCAAAACACUAAAGUUAUUCCUUUAUUCCUACUGUUAUCCUAUUCUGUUCCUUAGCUCACAAAGGAAAAAAUAAUCCCCUAUUGACCUCCAAAUUUAGCAUUCAUUUGAUUUCAUUUAUACAUUUAAAAUAGAGAAGAAUUAAAGCAACCUUAUAAAUUAUAUUUUAAUAAGAAUAUUGAUAUCUGAAAAGCUAGCAACCCAGAGAAAUGUUUUUCUUGCUUGACUUAGAUAAUAUUUUCAUCAACAUAAGAAAAACAAAUUGAGCCCCUAUGAAGUAUAGGGUGUGCCCUGGAUUUUAGAUGGUUGCCUAAUUUUCCUUUUCAUGUCUGUUAAAAGCCAAGUUUAAUUUGGAGCUAUUUCUCAAGAAGGGUGAGCAGCUGUGAUUGAUUUAUUUGAAUACUUUACAACAUUUAAAAAUAGUUUUUCUAAUUCACCAGAGAAUUAUUAAAUCCUUGGGGCUGUAUGCUCUCUUUUGUAGUCUUAGGUUCUCUCUCAUGCUUGGACAAUUCUAGUGUCUUUGCCAACAAUAGCUACUUUUUCUUGCACACCACUAAACUAAUCAUUGCAAAAGGUCAUUGUUGUGACAUCAUUCUCCUGUCCCAAACUGUCAGUGGCUCUUCACUUCCUCCCAAGUAAACUCUGUGUCAGAGCCUCCACCAUCUGGGUGCUGUUUACUAUUCAAUACAUAUUUCCCACAGCUUUCUGGGCAAGCCCACUGUGCCUGGCACUGUCUCUGAUCUCCAUGGUGCUGCACGUCUGGCCACCACCCUUUCCUCCCCUCCCUUAGUUAUUUGGCCUCCAAUGCCUUUACCAUCUCUCCAGCCUCCUCCCACGCACUCCCCACAUCUUUGAAAUCUUUUUCUUUUCUUUUUUAAUUCCAGCUCUUUUCCUCUCUAAAACUCAAGAUUUGACAUUUAUUCUAGAAUCAUAAAAGGCUAGAACUCACGGGGACAGGAGUGGAGCUAUCUGUCAUUUUUAAAUAUAGCUUCUCUCAAUCUUUAUUUAGUGGACUUGCUCUGGAUUAGGGAUGAGAAGACCUGACUCUACUGUUUUCUUGAUAAGUGACCUUGAACCAGACACAUGUGCUCAAGUUCCAUAUCUGUAAAAUGAAGAUACCUGGCCUUCCUACUUCACAAGGUUCUUUUGAAGAUCAAAUGUAAUACUGCAUAAUAAAGUGACUCAUAAAUUCUUUUUUUUUUUUUUUUUGAGAUGAAUUCUCACUCUGUUGCCCAGGCUGUCAUGACCUGGUGCAAUUUCAACUCACUGCAACCUCCGCCUCCAGGGUUCAAGAGAUUCUCCUACCUCAGCCCCACCGAGUAGCUGGGAUUACAGGCAUGCACCACCACUCCCGGCUUUUUUAUUUUAUUUUUAUUUUUUGUAUUUUUUGUAUUUUUAGUAGAGAUGGGGUUUUGCCAUUUUGGUGAGGUUGGUCCUGAACUCCUGACCUCAAGUGACCUGCCCGUCUUGCCUCCCAAAGUGCUGGGAUUACAGGAGUGAGCCUCUGCACCUGGCCUGACCCAUAAAUUCUAAAGUACUAAGUGAUGUCCUCAUAUAUAGCACAGUCCCUCCAGCCCCUGCAAUUCAAAGAUACAUCUCACUGUACUUAGGAGAGUUAGAGUAGAGGCAUGACCUAACUUGUUAGCUGUUUAUCUCCUAUAGAAAGUGGUCAACAGAUCUUUGUUGGUAAAAUGAAUGAAUAUUCAUUUCUUAUCUUUCAAUGAGAAUGUGAUAACUUUGGUUAUUGAUGUAUACUUCCGUGCAAAUUUGCUCAUGCAAUUUCAACCACAUCCCCCAGAACAACUUUCUACCAUGCUAAUUGCUCCGAACAUUUAAAUACCAGCAUAGGAAUGGAAGCUACUGACUGUUAACAUUUCUCACAUUUAGUUGCUGAAUGCCUCUCACAUUUACUUACUGAAUGUGUGCUUUAGACCAUCUUAAAAAUAUAAUAGUAUGUCUGAUAAAGAGGCCCAUCAGUCCUCAAAAUGUCUUCAUCUUUUAGUGUUGAAACAAUAAUGAUGAUUUGCUUCAUUUGUGCUCUACACACCAAUGAGAUGAGCUAACUGCAUAUCUACUAUGAAAUAAUGUCUAUUAUUACAUGGAUAACUACCCAUUAACUCCAUUGGAAACACUGGUAAUUACACAGUAUGUUACGUUAAUGCACCUGUGUUAGCUUCUGAUUGCCAUAUUAUUAAUUCAAGUGACCUCUUGAAUUAAUUCAAGUUUCCCAUCAUCAUUUUCUUAUUCUGGAACUCUCUAACACUUUAGAGACUGUUGGCUAAACAAUAAAAGUAUACAGUGAAAACUAUUUUCAAAAAAAAGAGGAUCUGAUGUGUGAUCCCAUUGAUGUUUGUUGUUGUUUUUCACUUCUUUGCUUGACAUAUAUAAACAACUUUAGAGCUAUAUUCUGUUACCUUCUGUGCAAAAUUAGAACAAUUUUCACUUUGUGAAGAGUUGCAGAAAGAUUUGACCUUUAAAAACUCUGAAACACGUCUGGUUCACAAACAGAAUCACAUCUUAAAAGCCCUAAGUUUGCUCUAAAAGUGUCAAUCAAGUUUUCAGCACACUAACACACGUAAUAAUGAAAGGCUUGUAUUUGCUCCUAAAACCCAAGUUGCCUCCCAGUCACUCUGCAUCUGGUUACACCAAACUUAACUUUUCUACAGUCCAUCUAGUCCUGACCUUCCCCUCUUCUUACGAGCCCCCAUUUAACCAAAGCAACUCCAGCCCAGGAGAUGAAAACCCCAUCAGCAUUUUCAUAGUUAAUGACAGGGCUACAAAACAGAAAAUAACAGCGGGAAUCUGAAGCCAGUGCUUUUAUUGGACUAACUAACGAUAUAAAUAAAAUGGUCCCUGACUGAGCUUUGGAGAAUCACUGUCUCUUUAUCAGGCCAUAGAAAACAGAUCCAGGAGGGCAAUAAAUACAGCACAUAACAGAGUGGAAUUAAAUGAUUAGGCCUGAAUUAACACCCUGUUUCUGAGCCUCACUUAGUGUUCCAUGGCCCCAAUGAAACACUGCAAUUCACAAAUGCUCAAGGCCCAUUUAAUUUUUAUUUCAAGCUAGUUCAGAAGAAGGGAUUACCUAUAACUCCCCCCUAUUCCAUUGUGUAACUCUCGAAGUAACAACACUGAUCCUGUCUAGAUAGCUGUUAGGAAAAUAGGCUGUGCUAUAGGAAACACAGAGUCUAUUCAGAAUCCUGCCUCUACAAAAAUCACAUUAAUUCAAAGGGACCAAAUCCCUCUCUGUGAAAGUGACAAGGCUGUCCUUGAUGGGAAAAUAAUGAAUUAUUAGUUAAAUAAACUUGAUUAUUUUCCAUGACAUUAACAACAAACCUAUGCAACUGUCAGCCCAAGAUUUUUACUUUUUGAACUGUGGCUUUAGCAUGCCAAAGAUCCUAAUCAAGUCUUAACUGCAAAAUGGAAUUGAAUCUCACCUUGGAGGGUAAUCUAUGGAGGCCCAUCCCCCAUUACACCAUAUGUCACAGGAUAAGGUGGAUGAGUUUCACUUAAACCCUGUUGGCGGGGAGUUAAUAUUGUUCUAUACGUCUUCAUUUAUACAAUGGCUUUAGAGCAAGAAAUCCAAGGAUGGCAUAAGAGGAAGGCUUCACUGUAGCAGUGAAGUACUUAGAAAUUUUAGACGAAAUAUGCAGCAGAUGAAACUGAGUCAUUAAAACCACUUGUAUACCUGUGACUUGAAGUGAUGUAUGAGAUGGAGAUAUAUUUAGAAGGCAAGGUCCUCAAGAGGUAAGAGAGCUUGCAGUUUUGAGCACUUAGUAGAUGCUGUGUGCUGGUUUUUAUUUUUCCUCAUUUAAUCCUCACACUGUCCUAUAAAGUUGACAUAAUUAUUCCUGUUUACAAGUAAGGAAACUGACCCUCAAAGAGGAGUGUAAUAAUUGCCCAAGUUCACACAGGAAGUGGUAAGGCUGAGAUUCAAAUCCAGAUCUAGCUGAUUCCAAAGCCAGCCCUUUCCGUCAAUACUAUGACUGUCACCUGCUUAGAACUCCUGACUGCUGCCUGGAGCUUUUACUUGGGAUCUUCUAGAAUAACCAAAGAAACAACACACAGAAGAGGAUGAGACUAAUGAAGUAUAGUCUCAAACAGUAGGAAAAAACCCCAAGGGCUUUGGCACUGGAUGAGAUUAACUCUUAUAAAGCCCCAGGAGAUCCAGACAUUCAGUGAAUUAAGGAGCCCUCCUCUGAAAUUAAAUGAACCUGCCUGUCCAAAACUGCUUCCGAGUGUCAGCCAUGGCGUACAUGGGGUCCAGACUCUAUCAUCACCCUGAAAGGGCACCUUGAGCCUUGACUGAAGUAGAGCAGGGAGGAUUCUUCCACAUUUUCAAGAGUAUGAGGUUUGACCACACCCAAGUUUACCCUACCAGUCGGUUCAGCAUAGCGUGUAGCUGUGUAUGGGACAGAAAGGGACACCUAUUAGAUGGAACCUUCUGCCCCAACACUUUUGUACUACAAAAUAACUGUAAUUGUGGCUCAAAUUUAUGCUUAAGUAACUUCAGUGAAACAAUAACACACACAUAACUCUCAGAAAGCAAUCUUACUCAAAAGGCUUGGGCACUGAUACAUUGUGAAGAAAUUACACAAUAUGAAUUUUUUUUAAAAAGGUAAUCACUAGAAAGUUUACAGAUGAUAGAUUCAUGUUAGCAAAAGAGUGUUAAGUAUCUGUUGAAUUACAACUAGACACUUAUGGAAAGUGUCUAAUUUCACUUUCUCUGCACUAUCUUUCUGUAUUACCAGUACCCAAUAAAUUAAAUGCUUUUGACAUUCAAUCAAUAUUACAUGGUAAUAAUCACAUCUUUUCAUUAAAAAGGAUAAAUUCCUUAAAAUUUUAUGUUUUAAGAAAAGGUCUUUGUUUACCAAAAGGGAUAGCAAAAUGAUUUAAGUGAGUUUAAUUUGAAUUAUUAAUUUUUUGUUCCUCGGCCAGCAGUUCUUCAGCAAAGGUCUAGAUUAUGGUGAUUGUUCUUGGUUGUGGUUUUUUAACAGUAAUGACAAGGCCCUUGAUAUCCUCUGGCCUUGACUUAGACACAAUUGCAGGCCUCCUUUUCACCUUUAGUUUUAGUAUUAAGGAAAAUCUAUCUCACUGUCAGGAAUAAAAGCCAGACUAUGUCUUUGAAUUUGAGUCCUUGUCUACUUGACUCCACAGCAAGCCAUAGUUUUAAGCAGCUUUUUUGGGAGAUAGGACCACGUGAAGCAUCUGCCAUGCCCAUUUGCUUAUUUAAGUACUUGUUUUUGUAUUUUGAAAGCAUAACUUCAGUUUAAAAAAUCCACAUAAAAAUGGGGUAAAACUUGGAACAAAAUUAUGGACUACCAGAGGUUUUCACUUACAACUGGCUACAGAAGCAGAGUGCAAUGCAAUCACAAAGAAUUAUUCCUUUAAAAUUGUGAGGUAUCACAUCUGCAUUUUUGAGUGAAUAGCUGACUAUGAUAAAGAGACCAGUUUUACCUUUGUAAAGCUGUAUGUCUCUUCCACGAAGUAGUUCUUUCAUCUAACAUGCGGAUUGCAAUAACUUACAG
rnacentral:lncRNA from 1 species